rfam:Triticum aestivum genome assembly, contig: Triticum_aestivum_CS42_TGACv1_scaffold_330037_4BS
CUACUACUCCCUCCAUCCGAGAAUACUUUUCAUCGAAAUGGAUGUAUCUAGAUGUAUUUUAGUUCUAGACACAUCCAUUUUGAUGACAAGUAAUUCCGGAUAGAGGGAGUACUAU